UCUCAUUUUCAAUUUAAUGCACUCAAAAUUAAUGAGUAACAAUCAGCACAAUGUUGAUGAGUAAGCACAAACCUUCAUCCAAGGCAUGGAAACAUUUUCAGGAUCCAGCAGGUAUAUUUCAUUUGCCAUUGAACAUUAAUGAGUCAUCUAUCUCUCAAAAGGAAAUCCAUUUUUUAUGCAAAUAGUCACAAUUUAGUAAGUUAGAAUUCUAUUAGAAUUGUUAGAGUUGAUUAGUUCAAAAUUAGUACGGGAUAAGUUAGUCCUUACUUUCCAUUAACCAACUUUCCCACUAUUAAUGCAUUUAUACAUGUCAACUUCUGUAUUAAUUUAAUAAAAGCUAUGAUUUCUCUCAUUUCUCAUCUGUUAUACUGACUUGUAUGAAACAGCAAGAAUUUUUGUGUAAUAUUCACUCAUUAAAUCAUGAAGGAUAAAGAGAAAGAGUUAAUGUUCAUAUGUAAAGAAGCUGAGUGUGGAUAGAAUAUUUCUUUAUUAAGUUAUUGGAAUAUUCAUUUCACUAAACAUAAAAAUUAACAAAUUAACAAUGCAAACCUUUCCGGUCAACUAGUUCCGGAACUUGGUUGGCUCCCAAAUUUACAAUACUUAUAAGUUAUGAAUCAUAAAUGAUAAUCUUGAGAAAAUUUUUGUGCUAUUCAGUUUCCAUACAUGUGUAUUGCCAUCUUUGAAUUAUUCAAGGAAUAAUUUUACUUUGGGAACUGAAAAAGGGUUGUUCUUCAGGAGGCCAGGGUUUUUAAUGACCCGCAACUAGAUGCUAGGAGAUGUUCACAUGUUUUUAUUUAUUUAUCUAUCCCAGCUAGGCAAGAAUGGCUCCUGUUAGAGCUCAGUGGAAAGUGCCAUCUGUCCGGCCCUGAUCUUCCGAAAACAGAAGAGAUCACUGAUGUUCUGGAAACCUUCCAUGUCAUUGUAGAACUUCCCUCAGACAACUUUGGUGCCUACAUAAUCUCAAUGGCAACAGCACCGUCUGAUAUGCUUGCUGUUGAGCUCUUACAACAGGAAUGCCACGUGAAGCAACCGCUAAGGGUCGUACCAUUGUUUGAAAAGCUUGCUGAUCUUGAGUCUGCUCCUGUUGCAAUGGCGUGGCUUUUCUCUAUUGAUUGGUACAGAAACCGAAUCAAUGGGAAGUAAGAAGUUAUGAUAGGAUACUCAGACUCAAGAAAAGAUGCAGGUCGUCUUUCUGCGGCUUGGGCGCUGUACAAGGCUCAAGAGGAGCUCAUAAAGGUUGCGAAGGAUGUCAGUGGCUAUGUAAACAUUGUAUAUAUAACCUAUUCUAUAAUGUCUGCUGGAUAUUUAGAUCAGCAUCAUAUGAUUGUGUUUCUAAUACUAUUGUUAUUUAUAUAAUAAGACUUUGAU